UACGUAGGGGGCUAGCGUUGUCCGGAAUCAUUGGGCGUAAAGCGCGUGUAGGCGGUCCGGUAAGUCCGCUGUGAAAGUCGGGGGCUCAACCCUCGAAAGCCGGUGGAUACUGUCGGGCUCGAGGACGGGAGAGGAUGGUGGAAUUCCCAGUGUAGAGGUGAAAUUCGUAGAUAUUGGGAAGAACACCGGUGGCGAAGGCGGCCAUCUGGACCGUAUCUGACGCUGAGGCGCGAAAGCGUGGGGAGCAAACAGG
rnacentral:rRNA from 1 species